CCGGCGGUAAUGCUUGUUCACCCCACGCUCACCUCCUGCUGUGCGGCCCAGUUCCUAACAGGCCACACAGAUACUGGUCAACGGCCGGGGGCUGCGGACCCCUGCUGUAAGCCUUUUCUUCACCCAGCAAGAUUUAGUGUUGUUCAUCCGAAGAGCUCAAUUCUUAUUAUGGACACAAAUGAAUUGAUCUAACCAGCAGCCCUGGGAAGUGAGAAAGACUAAUUACCCCAGGUUGUAGUUAUUUCUUGGAUGGAUGGCUUUGGGUGGAUAGCCGGGUGCUGAACAUGUCCAGCUGGGGAGCAAGAUGGAACAUGCAUGCAAAGGUUUAGAAACACUGCAAACAAGGCUACCUGCUGUCGUUCCUGGCCAAAGGAAACAGAACGGAAGAGCCUCUGUUCCCCAGAAGUGGUCACUUAGGGUUGCCCUGAUCUGGGAAGGUUCUGUGCAGAGGUGGCCUCGUGAGGCUCCAGAGAGAGACAAGGAGAUGAGGAGACAAGCAGACGAACAGCGGAACAAUGCAGCAGAGAAAGAGAGAAGAGAAGGAACGUCUGAACGUCGAGAGGAGUUCGGCUGCUGGACGGCCAAACUCCAGGGGAAGAUCAUCUUCCCACUCCAUUCCCCCUCCAGCUCCCCAUCCAUCCCACUGAGAGCCACUUCCACCACUCAAUAAAAGCCCCACAUUUAUCCUUCAAGUCCAUGUGUGAUCCAAUUCUUCUGGGAUGCUAAACAAGAACCUGGGAUACAGAAAGCUGUCACACUGGCCCUCUGCCCUUGCAGAAAGGCAGAGGGGCCCUGAGCUGGUUGAUACUUAAGCUGUCUGUGGAUGGCAGAACUAAAAGAGCAUUGG
rnacentral:lncRNA from 1 species